GGUUCAUUCAAAUUUCUGCCCUAUCAACUUUCGAUGGUAAGGUAUUGGCUUACCAUGGUUUCAACGGGUAACGGGGAAUUAGGGUUCGAUUCCGGAGAGGGAGCCUGAGAAACGGCUACCACAUCCAAGGAAGGCAGCAGGCGCGCAAAUUACCCAAUCCCGACCGGGGAGGUAGUGACAAUAAAUACUGAUACAGGGCUCUUUUGGGUCUUGUAAUCGGAAUGAGUACGAUUUAAACCCCUUAACGAGGAACAAUUGGAGGGCAAGUCUGGUGCCAGCAGCCGGGUAAUUCCAGCUCCAAUAGCGUAUAUUAAAGUUGUUGCAGUUAAAAAGCUCGUAGUUG
rnacentral:rRNA from 1 species